rnacentral:lncRNA from 1 species
GCUGGAAUUUCAUAAGUGACAUGAUUUCUUGGCUAUUUUAUUUUUUUUAUAAGGAGGAGUUUUCAGACUGUUUUGUUUCAUUCCUAUGCUUUGCAUAUAUAUGGGCUCUGAAUUAGAAAGGGCAUGAAACCCGCAAUUUGUAGGAGCAGGAGGCAAUGUCCAAUCCAGCGAGUGAACUAAUUCGUGCUGCCGUGCGUAGUGCCAAAUGCAUAUAAUUCUGUUGGGUACUUUUUACAUUUUGUUUACCCCGUUGCUCCUUGCCUUUAAUUUCG